rnacentral:rRNA from 1 species
UUUCGAGUGGGAGCUUGCUUCCACUGAGAAGAUAGUGGCGGACGGGUGAGUAACACGUGGGUAACCUGCCCAUAAGAGGGGGAUAACAUCCGGAAACGGGUGCUAAUACCGCAUAGUUUUCUUGGUCGCAUGAUCGAGAAAGGAAAGACGGCCUUUGUGCUGUCGCUUAUGGAUGGACCCGCGGCGUAUUAGUUAGUUGGUGAGGUAACGGCUCACCAAGACGAUGAUACGUAGCCGACCUGAGAGGGUGAUCGGCCACAUUGGGACUGAGACACGGCCCAAACUCCUACGGGAGGCAGCAGUAGGGAAUCUUCCGCAAUGGACGAAAGUCUGACGGAGCAACGCCGCGUGAGUGAAGAAGGUUUUCGGAUCGUAAAACUCUGUUGUCAGAGAAGAACAAGUCGGAGAGUAACUGCUCCGGCCUUGACGGUAUCUGACCAGAAAGCCACGGCUAACUACGUGCCAGCAGCCGCGGUAAUACGUAGGUGGCAAGCGUUGUCCGGAUUUAUUGGGCGUAAAGCGAGCGCAGGCGGUUCCUUAAGUCUGAUGUGAAAGCCCACGGCUCAACCGUGGAAGGUCAUUGGAAACUGGGGAACUUGAGUGCAGAAGAGGAGAGUGGAAUUCCAUGUGUAGCGGUGAAAUGCGUAGAUAUAUGGAGGAACACCAGUGGCGAAGGCGACUCUCUGGUCUGUAACUGACGCUGA